AUUGAACGCUAGCGGGAUGCUUUACACAUGCAAGUCGAACGAGUGGCGGACGGGUGAGUAAUAUAUCGGAACGUGCCCAGUAGCGGGGGAUAACUACUCGAAAGAGUGGCUAAUACCGCAUACCAUCGGAUGUGCCCAGAUGGGAUUAGCUAGUAGGUGGGGUAAAGGCUCACCUAGGCGACGAUCCCUAGCUGGUCUGAGAGGAUGACCAGCCAAACUGGAACUGAGACACGGUCCAGACUCCUACGGGAGGCAGCAGUGGGGAAUUUUGGACAAUGGGGGAAACCCUGAUCCAGCCAUCCCGCGUGUAUGAGAAGGCCUUCGGGUUGUAAAGUACUUUUGGCAGAGAAGCGGUAUCUGCAGAAUAAGCACCGGCUAACUACGUGCCAGCAGCCGCGGUAAUAC
rnacentral:rRNA from 1 species